AUUGAACGCUGGCGGCAUGCUUUACACAUGCAAGUCGAACGGCAGCGCGGGCUUCGGCCUGGCGGCGAGUGGCGAACGGUUGAGUAAUGCAUCGGAACGUGCCCAGUCGUGGGGGAUAGCCCGGCGAAAGCCGGAUUAAUACCGCAUACGACCUGAGGGUGAAAGCGGGGGGCCGAAAGGCCUCGCGCUAUUGUAGUAGCCUAGGUCGGUUUAGCUAGUUGGUGGGGUAAAGGCUUACCAAGGCGACGAUCCGUAGCUGGUCUGAGAGGACGACCAGCCACACUGGGACUGAGACACGGCCCAGACUCCUACGGGAGGAAGCAGUGGGGAAUUUUGGACAAUGGGGGCAACCCUGAUACAGCCAUGCCGCGUGAGGGAAGAAGGACUUCGGAUUGUAAAGCGCUUUUGUUCGGGAAGAAAUCCUCUGGGCUAAUACCCCGGGGGGAUGACGGUACCGGAAGAAUAAGCACCGGCUAACUACGUG
rnacentral:rRNA from 1 species